rnacentral:ncRNA from 1 species
GUUUCAGGGCGGGGUGAAAGUCCCCACUGGCGGUGACGGGAAGGCCCGAAGUCCGCGACCCGCGCAAAGGCGGCUGAUCCGGUGAGAGUCCGGAACCAACGGUUACAGUCCGGAUGGAAGAAA